AGUCUGCAACUCGACUGCACGAGGCUGGAAUCGCUAGUAAUCGCGGAUCAGCACGCCGCGGUGAAUACGUUCCCGGGCCUUGUACACACCGCCCGUCACACCAUGGAAGUCUGCAAUGCCCGAAGCCGGUGGCCUAACCACUUAUGUGGAAGGAGCCGUCUAAGGCAGGGCAGAUGACUGGGGUGAAGUCGUAACAAGGUACC
rnacentral:rRNA from 1 species